rnacentral:rRNA from 1 species
GACGUAGGGCGCGAGCGUUUGUCCGGAUUUAUUGGGCGUAAAGAGCUCGUAGGCGGCUUGUCGCGUCGAAUGUGAAAACUCGGGGGCUCAACUCCGAGCUUGCAUUCGAUACGGGCAGGCUAGAGUUCGGGUGAGGGGGAGGACUGGAAUUCCUGGUGUAGCGGUGAAAUGCGCAGAUAUCAGGAGGAACACCGGUGGCGAAGGCGGGUCUCUGGGCCGAUACUGACGCUGAGGAGCGAAAGCGUGGGGAGCGAACAGG